CGCGCCCCCCCUUCACACCCCUCUCUCCCCUCACUCCGCCCUUCCCGCCCAGCCCAGGAGCUGCCCCGCCGGCCGCCGAGAAGCCCGAGGUCUUUUAUCCUCCAGAUGAGGCUGCGGGCGCGGUGCAGGAGCCUGGGGAGCCGGAGCCAAAGAACUUCCCAGCCUGGAGGGAUCAGAGCGCGGUUGAUCCCCAGUGCGAGGAGGAUGCGCUUUGCAGCCUCCCCCGGGUCAGAGCUGCCCCUGGCCUCCGGCAUCCCACGGGCAGGAUCCGGCUGUCCCCGCGGACCCCAGGGAUAGUGGGGGCCGGUGCGUGGGAUCGGCAGUUCCUGCCCUCUCCACAGCCCCUGUCCCACGGGAGAACGCGUCGCAACUGAGAGCGCGCCUGUCCGGAACCCCGUGGGGCACGGCGGGCACUCCCGGGGCCGGGCGGCUCCCAACGGGAACAGGGAGCGGGACCCCCGGGCGGAUGCAGAGUUACGGCCGCCGUUCAACCGAGAGACCGCGGAACCUGGAGCCGGGACGGGAUCGGCAUCGGCUGGCAGUCGAAUUACAGCUCCAGGAGAGCCGCUUACACCAGCGCUAAACUCGGGAGGGGAACGCGCAGGGGAAGGAUGCCCUCGCUUCCCCAAGCCCGCCGCCCUUCACCUUGGCCAGAUCUCCCGUUUCACGCUCCUUCCUGGGGAGGGGUAGCGCCGUGCCGGGUGGUAACGGAGCCUCGGGGAGCUGGGCAUGGGGGAAUGGAGUCCCACCGGCUCUGCGAAGGCGACUGAGCAGGCAGCGGGAGUUAGAGCUUAACGGGACUCACUCCACUCGAGAAGGUGAUGAUGGAGAGAAAAAUCUUAUAAUUUCAAUUUUUAAUCCAGGAGAGCAAGAGAUGGAGCAUAAAUCUGUUCUCCGGAGGAUGCAAGCAUCUUGUGACCUCCUGUCACUCUUAUUGCACUUAUCUGUCAAAGAGCAGCAAGCACUAUCGGCCUCACCCGUGAAAAACAAUACCGAAUCUGGGACUGAUAACUGAUUCUUUUGAAAAAGACUCUUAGAAAGGGUACAGUGAGAUAACAGUUAAAUGUACUUUUAUUCCUUCGAACUGAAGGAUAUCUUGAAGGUACAUCAGAGAAAUUAUUUAAUUGAUUUCAGUCUCUUAAAAAAAAAAAUGCAUGGCUUCAAACUUCAGGAACAAUAUCCAAUAAACAGAGCACUAUUGGUAUGCACCUGUUUUAGUGGGGUACAAAGAGAAGCUUACAGAUUCAAAUGAAUAGCAUAAACGAUGGAGAAAUCUGUUCAGAUAAUGCUUGUUUACAGGGAAAAAAGUAUGUUGACAACUAUGAACAAGCACACAGAAACCGUUUAAAAACCCAAACCUUUUCAACUGUAUUUACACACAUGGAUGUAUUUGCCUUCCUUUGGCACUAGAAAUUACAGACAAAAGAUUGCAUUUUAUAGCAGUUAACCUCCGAGUCAUUUAAGUCAUAUAGCCUCAGCACAGUCACUUCACCUUCAUUAAACUACCACCAAAUCCAUACUUUAACCCGGGAAAUCCAGGCCACAAAACCUGAAUCCACCGCUGACAGAUUUCACUCAGCAGGAUUAAUCGGAGGUGGAGUUCAGUCAGCCACAGGGAAUUUAAUGAGAUACAAACAUAAUUUAAGAAGAAUGAAUCUCCCAUUCUUAUAUACGGUGGAUGUCUACCUUUAAAUUCUUUAUAUGCAUGUACAUAUCAAAUCAAGUAAAAAUGGACACUCAUUACAUAAAUUCAGCCAAGUUAGACAUUAAGUGAACAGUCAGAGCACAUGAUGGGCAUCUGUAGUAUUUCUUCACUGUUGCAGAGAGAUAUGUUAAUCCCUACUCAUUUCCAUUGUUAGGAAAAAAGUUAAGAUCACACUUAACAAGUGGAUUAGAUGGUAUAUUAUUUUCAGCACGCUCAUUUGCUCUUUAGCCCUUGCCAGGAGUUUCACCAAAGUUCAAUAUUAUCAGAACAGUAGCAGGAGUGUUUUGGCACCCUGUAAUAUCCUAAAGAAUGUGCAAGAAACAUCUCAGAAGGAGCAUUUCAUUUUCCAAACUUCUAACUUCUUGUUCACGGCAUUUGCCUUUACAGAGCUGAAGCUUUGAUUACUUUCAGAACAGUUUUUAUAUGUUUUCUGCUGGUAACCAACAGGGGUGUAACAACAAUGGCACAGUAUUUUUCCUGAAGCAUUGAAGACUAGGAAAAACUUAUUUUCCUUAAAGAACUACAAUCAAUUAGGACUACAUAAAAAUUAAGUAAUGAGGCAUCGGG